UACAGAGGUCUCAAGCGUUGUUCGGAUUCAUUGGGCGUAAAGGGUGCGUAGGUGGCGCGGUAAGUCGGGUGUGAAAUCUCGGAGCUUAACUCCGAAAUUGCAUUCGAUGCUGCCGUGCUCGAGGACUGGAGAGGAGACUGGAAUUCAUGGUGUAGCAGUGAAAUGCGUAGAGAUCAUGAGGAAGACCAGUGGCGAAGGCGGGUCUCUGGACAGUUCCUGACACUGAGGCACGAAGGCCAGGGGAGCAAACGGG
rnacentral:rRNA from 1 species